GACAAACGCUGGCGGCGUGCUUAACACAUGCAAGUCGAACGCUGAAGCUCAGCUUUUGUUGGGUGGAUGAGUGGCGAACGGGUGAGUAACACGUGAGUAACCUGCCUCCUUCUUUGGGAUAACGCCCGGAAACGGGUGCUAAUACUGGAUAUUCACUGGUCUUCGCAUGGGGGUUGGUGGAAAGGGUUUUUCUGGUGGGGGAUGGGCUCGCGGCCUAUCAGCUUGUUGGUGGGGUGAUGGCCUACCAAGGCUUUGACGGGUAGCCGGCCUGAGAGGGUGACUGGUCACAUUGGGACUGAGAUACGGCCCAGACUCCUACGGGAGGCAGCAGUGGGGAAUAUUGCGCAAUGGGCGCAAGCCUGAUGCAGCGACGCCGCGUGAGGGGUGGAGGCCUUCGGGUUGUGAACCUCUUUCGCUCAUGGUCAAGCCGCAACAAUGGUUGUGGUGAGGGUAGUGGGUAAAGAAGCGCCGGCUAACUACGUG
rnacentral:rRNA from 1 species